GACGAACGCUGGCGGCGUGCUUAACACAUGCAAGUCGAACGGAAAGGCCCUGCUUUUGUGGGGUGCUCGAGUGGCGAACGGGUGAGUAACACGUGAGUAACCUGCCCUUGACUUUGUGAUAACUUCAGGAAACUGGGGCUAAUACCGGAUAGGAUCUCCUGCUGCAUGGUGGGGGUUGGAAAGUUUCGGCGGUUGGGGAUGGACUCGCGGCUUAUCAGCUUGUUGGUGGGGUAGUUGCUUACCAAGGCUUUGACGGGUAGCCGGCCUGAGAGGGUGACCGGCAAAAUUGGGACUGAGAUACGGCCCAGACUCCAACGGGAGGCAGCAGUGGGGAAUAUUGCACAAUGGGCGGAAGCCUGAUGCAGCAAAGCCGCGUGCGGGAUGACGGCCUUCGGGUUGUAAACCGCUUUCGCCUGUGACGAAGAGUGAGUGACGGUAAUGGGUAAAGAAGCACCGGCUAACUACGUG
rnacentral:rRNA from 1 species